rnacentral:piRNA from 1 species
UACUAUUGUACAACCCCCUUGUCAUAGCAC